rnacentral:rRNA from 1 species
UACCAGCACCCCGAGUGGUCGGGCCGAUUAUUGGGCCUAAAGCAUCCGUAGCCGGUUUUACAAGUCCCCCGUUAAAUCCAGCUGCUUAACAGAUGGGCUGCGGAGGAUACUAUAAGACUAGGAGGCAGGAGAGGCAAGCGGUACUCAGUGGGUAGGGGUAAAAUCCGUUGAUCCAUUGAAGACCACCAGUGGCGAAGGCGGCUUGCCAGAAUGCGCUCGACGGUGAGGGAUGAAAGCUGGGGGAGCAAACCGG